UACGUAGGUGGCAAGCGUUGUCCGGAUUUAUUGGGUUUAAAGGGUGCGUAGGCGGCCCUGUAAGUCAGUGCUGAAAUAUCCCGGCUUAACCGGGAGGGUGGCAUUGAUACUGCGGGGCUAGAGUACAGAUGAGGUAGGCGGAAUUGACGGUGUAACGGUGAAAUGCUUAGAUAUCGUCAAGAACACCUAUAGCGAAGGCAGCUUACUAGGCUGUAACUGACGCUGAGGCACGAAAGUGUGGGGAUCAAACAGG
rnacentral:rRNA from 1 species